GUUUGAAAUAUCCAAUAAAUGUCGUUCCACUUCAUGGUUGUGUCCCACUUGUUGUUGAUUCUAAACAAAAAAAUACAGUUUUAUAUCUUUGUUUGAAGCCUGAAAUGUGGCAAAAGGUCGCAAAGUUCAAGGGGGCCGAAUACUUUCGCAAGGCACUGUAUCCAUCAAGGUUAAACCUACAUUUGUUUUGAGGAGAAGUGUGAUGCUGUUGUUUCUGCAGGCAGCUUUGAGUUGGAGAUCAACGGGGAGCUGGUCUUCUCCAAGCUGGAAACAGGUGGCUUCCCCAUGGAAAAGGAUGUCAGGGACGCUCUCCAGAACACCUAUGCUGGCAAGCAAGUAGAAAAGUGGACCAGAAAUCGCCCACCUUGUGUCAUCCUGUAGAUUUCAAUUCCCUCCAUCCUCCAACAGUUAUCACUCAGACCAAUGCUGCUGUCUGUCACCACUCACACAGCAGAGACUCCUUUCUGUUCCUUCUCUCUCUCUGCUCCCAUUGCAGUGUUCCAGGACUUUAUAUGAUUACUGUAGACCAAAGCUGAAAGGUUUAUAGUAUGAUGACCCCAGUCCUGGCAGCUCCUAUGUUAUGGGAUCAGAGAAAGGGAGGACAUGGAAAGACUGGUUGGGUGGAACUUCCUUAUUCCAGAUCUUCUAUGGCUAUCUGUUUACAGCACCAUCAUCAGCCAGAUAAACUAUCAAUUUGAGUUGCUGAAGCCUGUCUCGCGUUGUGUUACUGUGUAUUGAUCUCCCAUAUUGCAACUGAUGCUUUGCAAUUAGCUUUAAGUAGAGCUGGUCAAGUGAGUAGAUGAAUUGCUAGUUAUGGUAAUAUAGGCCACCACCCACUAGUCUGUAUGCUACACUAACGAGACAUCAGCCCAUGUUCAUCACACGUCAUUUGAAUUAUCAUCGCUGAAUACUGUUAUUGAUUGCUGAUGACAAUGUUUGAUACCCACUGGGAGGACUUCAAUCUCAAAAUAAAAUAAAAUGAC
ensembl:lncRNA